rnacentral:rRNA from 1 species
CCUACGGGAGGCAGCAGUGAGGAAUAUUGGUCAAUGGACGAGAGUCUGAACCAGCCAAAUAGCGUGAAGGAUGACUGCCCUAUGGGUUGUAAACUUCUUUUAUAUGGGAAUAAAACGUUCCACGUGUGGGAUUUUGUAUGUACCAUAUGAAUAAGGAUCGGCUAACUCCGUGCCAGCAGCCGCGGUAAUACGGAGGAUCCGAGCGUUAUCCGGAUUUAUUGGGUUUAAAGGGAGCGUAGGUGGAUUGUUAAGUCAGUUGUGAAAGUUUGCGGCUCAACCGUAAAAUUGCAGUUGAAACUGGCAGUCUUGAGUACAGUAGAGGUGGGCGGAAUUCGUGGUGUAGCGGUGAAAUGCUUAGAUAUCACGAAGAACUCCGAUUGCGAAGGCAGUUCACUGGACUGCAACUGACACUGAGGCUCGAAAGUGUGGGUAUCAAACAGGAUUAGAUACCCGAGUAGUC